AGUGAACGCUGGCGGCAGGCCUAAUACAUGCAAGUCGAACGGCAGCACAGUGGAGCUUGCUCCAUGGGUGGCGAGUGGCGGACGGGUGAGGAAUACAUGGGAAUCUGCCCAGUCGUGGGGGAUAACGUAGGGAAACUUACGCUAAUACCGCAUGCGCCCUUCGGGGGAAAGCCGGGGACCGUAAGGCCUGGCGCGAUUGGAUGAGCCCAUGUCGGAUUAGCUAGUUGGCGGGGUAAAGGCCCACCAAGGCGACGAUCCGUAGCUGGUCUGAGAGGAUGAUCAGCCACACUGGAACUGAGACACGGUCCAGACUCCUACGGGAGGCAGCAGUAGGGAAUAUUGGGACAAUGGGCGCAAGCCUGAUCCAGCCAUGCGCGUGAGUGAAGAAGGCCCUCGGGUUGUAAAGCUCUUUUGUCCGGAAAGAAAAGCGCCGGGUUAAUACCCUGGUGUCCUGACGGUACCGGAGAAUAAGCACCGGCUAACUUCGUGCCAGCAGCCGCGGUAAU
rnacentral:rRNA from 1 species